GGGAGGAAGUGAGGAGUAGAAGGGGCUGGAAGAUUUGAGGGUAUGGUCUGAUGGGAGACAGCCUAAGUCCUCUCCAGAGUGAUAUUCCAGAAGCUCUAGAAGAUUUUUGCUAAGAUGGCAAAGGAGACUUGGGGUCAAAGAUGAAGCUUUGUUCCACACAUUUUCAACAUGAACUGGAAAUAAUGGAAAAUCAAGAUGUACACCUGAGCUUUCCCAAGCAGUAGAGAACUAUACAGAGGGAAAUGAGGACAAAGAAGAAACCCAGACAUCAGGAGAAGAAAUUGCGAGUGGAACAGGAACAGAAGUGGAAGAUACAGAGAGCAGGAAGAACAUUCUCACCUGUAUUCCAAAAAAUCCACAUAAUUAGCUAACAAGUUUGAUUGUACAGUUUCAAAUUUUGACUUGUAAAUGAGAUUACUACCUCAAAUUGGUGACUUUUACAAGUGUGUUCUUCUUUAAGAAAUAUGAAUUUACA